rnacentral:tRNA from 1 species
GCGGAUGUAGCUCAACUGGAAGAGCAGCGGAUUCCAAACCCGCAAGGUGGGGGUUCGAGUCCUUCCAUCCGCGCCA